GCACCAGUGGCGCAAUGGAUAGCGCGUGGCCCUCCUAAGGCCAAGGUUGUGGGUUCGAGUCCCACCUGGUGUG
rnacentral:tRNA from 1 species